rnacentral:lncRNA from 1 species
AAAGAUCACAUUUAUCAAGUUCAUCCAAAGAUAUUCCAAAUAGCAUGCAUUCCUAAUCAGGUUCUCGAUAAGUUAGGAAUCAUCCACAAAUCAUGUAGGAAUGUUCUAAAGUGCUUGAAACGUAGAGUUUAGUUACCCAUAGAUAUCUAGCUCUACUGUCUCUUAGUUGGUCAGAUUCUUUUCCUAUAAGAUGUGCCACAUUGUCAUGGUUCAGUGGCCGCAAGCGGUUCACCAUUUCAAGGUCCAAU